GAUGAACGCUGGCGGCGUGCCUAAUACAUGCAAGUCGAGCGAACAGACGAGGAGCUUGCUCCUCUGACGUUAGCGGCGGACGGGUGAGUAACACGUGGAUAACCUACCUAUAAGACUGGGAUAACUUCGGGAAACCGGAGCUAAUACCGGAUAACAUGUUGAACCGCAUGGUUCAACAGUGAAAGACGGUCUUGCUGCCACUUAUAGAUGGAUCCGCGCCGCUUUAGCUAGUUGGGAAGGUAACGGCUUACCAAGGCAACGAUGCGUAGCCGACCUGAGAGGGUGAUCGGCCACACUGGAACUGAGACACGGUCCAGACUCCUACGGGAGGCAGCAGUAGGGAAUCUUCCGCAAUGGGAGAAAGCCUGACGGAGCAACGCCGCGUGAGUGAUGAAGGUCUUCGGAUCGUAAAACUCUGUUAUUAGGGAAGAACAAAUGUGUAAGUAACUAUGCACGUAUUGACGGUACCUAAUCAGAAAGCCACGGCUAACUACGUG
rnacentral:rRNA from 1 species